CGGAGUAACAAAUGUAGAAUUUAGCCAUCGCAUUUUCUGAAUCAAAAGUGCAUCCAACUUGACGAAGUAACAAAUGUAGAAUUUAGCUACUGAAUCAAAACUGCAUCCAACUAGGCGGAGUAACAAAUGUAGAAUUUAGCUACUGAAUCAAGUGCAUCCACCUUGGCGGAGUAACAAAUGUAGAAUUUAGAUAUCACAUUUUCUGAAUCAAAAGUGCAAUCACUUUAACUUACCUAAGACCCA
rnacentral:lncRNA from 1 species